AAGCGAUUGGCCAAAGGAGGCGGGACACCCCCUUCCACCUGUUUCCAGAGGCAGGGAGGAGGGGCACGCCUCCUAGCAGGCCUCAGCAGAGCCGUCCUGGCCCCCGGGAGGGGCAGGAAGAGCGGGAGACCGAGGCCGGAAGCUGUGUCCAAGGUCUUCCGACUCCCGAGGGAAACCAGGGCCCAUUACACGCAGCUCUGCCUUGUUCAUUCAACUCCCAGUGAAAUCAGAGAGCAAACUGCAAUCUCUGCUUGGCAGAGCAAGACAGAUGAGGUGCUGCGUCCAGCUGCCGGGGCCCUCUCUCUGGCCGAGGUCGACGCCCCGCAUCCUUCGCCUACCGGGCCCCGUACACCAGGGUAUCUCUUGGGGUUGAGGUCCGAGGACCCCCGGGACGGCUCGCUUCAUCUACGCGGCUGGACCCUCCCAGCCCUUGCUCAGCCGAGGACCGUAUUCGAUCGAUAGGUGGUAUUCAACACCGGGAGGCCCCAGGGGGCAGGGCCCAGCAAUGUCCGCUGCACGGCUGAGGUCUCAGGGAGGUGCCGUUCCGUCCUCCCGUCCUCCCCACCUGCCGUCGCUCCGGAUGCACUGCCGGGCCGGGGCGACUGGCUCAGUGAGUGGGGACGAUUCGGUGCAAGCCGUCUCCGCUCCUGGGAGAUGGACUCAAGCUCGGGUCCUGCUGCCUGUAGGACGGGGCUUUUCCCUCCUAGACACUGGUGUCUGAGCAGGGCUCGCGAGAAUGACAAUCUGUCAAUCAAGGAUCGAGUGUUUACUGUGUGCGGAGGACUGUACUUGGAAAAGUCCGUUACAAUAACGGUUUUUGGUAAAUGCUGGUCUUGUCUCGUCUCAUGCUGUCGAGUCGUCCCCGACUCAUAGCGACUCCGGAGACACAUCUCUCCCAGAAUACCCCACUCUCCAUCUACGGUUGUCCCGGCAGUGUAUCCAUAGAGUUUUACUCUGGGCCAAACACCGUUUUGAGUCCUGAGGCAGAUACAUAGUAAUCGCGAUGGGCACGGUCCCUGUUCCACAGAGGGCUCACAGUCUAAGUAGGAGGGAAUAGGCUUCAAUCUCCAUUUUACAGAUGAGGAAACUGAGGCAGAGAAGUUAAAUGACUUUAUCGCACAACGGGCAAGUGGUGGAGGAGCUAGACAUGUAGACAGUAGAGCCGGUAGACACGAUCCCUGCCCAGGAGCAGCCUGAACGGGGAUCAUACCUAUCUGCUCUAUCGUACUUUCCCAAUCCUUUAGGGCCCGGAUUCUCUCCACUAGACAACGCUCUAUGGAGAAGCUUGUUGCACCCUCUUGUGGAUGUAACUGAGGGUGGGACGCACUCGUGGGAGAGUUAUCGCACUCGGAGCCUUCAAAAACAGCUCUGAAAUGGCUCGGUUGGUUCUAGAAAUAAUAGAGGGAGGCUUCGUCCCUGAAGUGGCUGACUGACUUUCCGCCUCCUCUAGAGCCCACUGGUUUUCAACAAGAUACCAGUGGCGGUCCCUCUCAGGGUCGCACCUGGAGAGUUUCCAGUACUCUACCAGUCUCGGCUAGGGGAGGGAGAGUCGAGCAGAGGUAUACCCCUUCCAUUCCUAGCUUGGACAGUGGCUAGCGAGUGGAAGGCCAUCUGCAACAAGUCAAAACUCACCCGUGUCGGGCAGCAGCGGCGUGGGAGAGAGUCGAGGGCGGAGACUCAGGUUUACAGUGCCGAAGGAGGCUUUUACCGUACUUUUACCGAGGAAACUCUACGGAUAAACUACCGGAACGAUUGCAGAUGGAGGUGGGGCGUUGUGGGAGAGAUGCGCCCGUGGCGUCGCUAUGGGUCGGAGACGACUUGACGGCGUAAGACAAGACAAGACCAGCGGGAGGAAAGGACUGAAGAGGAACAGGCAAGAGGGAGGGGAGGAGAAAAAGCAGGUGGGAGAAGGACUGGUUUAAAGUUAAUCCUUCUAUUUAUUGGAUUUCAAAGUCAUCUCCCCCUUUUGGAAUCAAGUGCGUCCUCUCCGGGAAAGAGGAAAAAGGACUGGAGAUAAUCCCGGCUCCAUCACUUGUCUGCCGUGUGACCUUGGGCAAGUGACUUAACUUCUCUGUGCCUCAGUUACCUCACCUGUAAAAACUGGGGAUUAAGACCGUGAGCCCCACGUGGGACAGGGACUGUGUCCAAUCCGUUUAUCUUAUACCGUGUCUUUGCACACGGUAAGCGCUCGAUAAAUACGAUCGAAUGAAUGAAUGAAUCUACCCCAGCACCUAGUACAGUGCCUGGCACAUAAGAAGAGCUUAACAAAUACCAUAAAAAGAUAGAACCCG
rnacentral:lncRNA from 1 species